ensembl:misc_RNA Metazoa_SRP Metazoan signal recognition particle RNA
GCCAGAUGCAGUGGCAGAAACCCGUAGUCCCAGCUACUCAGGAGGCAAAGGCAGGUGAUUGGCUUGAGCCUAGGAGUUCUGGGCUAUAGUGUGCUGUGCCCAUUGGGUGUCUGCACUAAGUUCAUCAUCAAUAUGGUGACCUUCUGAGAGUGGGGAACCACCAGGUAGCCUAACAAGGGUUGAACCUGCCCAGGUUAAAAUGGAACAGAUAAGAACUCUGUGUUGAUAAGUAGUGAGAUCAAACCUGUAAGUAGCCUCCACACUCCAACCUAGGCAACAUAGUGAGACCCUGUCUCU